rnacentral:rRNA from 1 species
UACGAAGGGGGCGAGCGUUGUUCGGAAUUACUGGGCGUAAAGGGGCGCGCAGGCGGCUCUGAAAGUCAGAUGUGAAAGCCCCGGGCUUAAACCUGGGAACUGCAUUUGAUACUCUGGAGCUUGAGUACGGGAGAGGAUAGUGGAAUUCCAGUGUAGAGGUGAAAUUCGUAGAUAUUGGGAAGAACACCGGUGGCGAAGGCGGCUAUCUGGACCGUA